CUUCAGCCGACAUGAAGGAAUGUUGGCAGCAAUCCCUAAAACAUUCAUUCUCCCUCUCUCUAAAAACCCUAACAAUACACCAAAUGCUCUCCCUCUUCUGUGGAUUCGACGGCAACAUCAUUAUCCCUCGACGGCAGCCGGUGAUUAUCAUCCGCGAGCUACAUUUCUUCUUUCAUCCUACACAUCUUCUACUUUCGAUCUUAACCGGUACUCAGUAAUGGAUCAGGAGCUUGCAGCGAGGGGGUGUAGUGUUUGCUUUAACCCUAGUGGGUUCCUUCAAUAAUUAUGGACUUGAAACUGAUGUUUUUAGCUGUUAAAUUUAUGCUUCCAUUGUUAACUUU